UACAAGACGGUAUACCACAGA
rnacentral:siRNA from 1 species